rnacentral:tRNA from 1 species
GUGCCUGUAGUUCAGCGGUAGAGCGCCAGAUUGUGGAUCUGGUUGUCGUGGGUUCGACCCCCACCAGGCACC